rnacentral:sRNA from 2 species
AUGAUGAAGGUCGAUGGGAAAUACUGGAUAAUGA